GGCUCCUAAGCAACCUUGGCUUGUCUGCCAUGUCCACCAUAUUGCUGUCAUGAGUUCUUGACCCGGGAACUCUGACUCCCUUGAGAUAGAAAAUCUGUUCCCUUGUUGAUUGGGAUGCAGGUCCAUUGGUUCAAUGACAUCAGUGCCAAGAUCUCAGUGGCCUUCUUGGCCUUUCUUCAUGACCAGAGGAUGCUGCUCUAACUUCACCCAUCUCAACCAAGCACAGUGCUUGAAAUCGCCCAACCUCCUGUCGCUUUGUUGAAGAAGUCUCCCCAGAUUCUCCAAUCAGACGUCCACAGGGAGAGACCAAGGCCGGGCUCAUCUCUCUCCUGAGCAUCCAGUGUCUUUUCCAAGCGCUCUUGCCAUCCUCUUCCUUGGGUCAAGCCCCCUACUGGACUCUCAGCUCUCAGAGAGUGGGGACCAAGUCUAGCUCAGCUCGGCGUCUUCUUGGCACCUAGCCCAUGGCCUGGCCCAUUGCGGGCCCUUGUUGAUGGGAAAUUCAAAGCACUUUACUGAGGCCAAC
rnacentral:lncRNA from 1 species